rnacentral:rRNA from 1 species
CAGUUCGGAUUGUAGUCUGCAACCCGACUACCAUGAAGCUGGAAUCGCUAGUAAUCGCGGAUCAGAAUGCCGCGGUGAAUACGUUCCCGGGUCUUGUACACACCGCCCGUCACACCAUGGGAGUCGGAAAUGCCCGAAGUCUGUGACCCAACCGCGAGGAGGGAGCAGCCGAAGGCAGGUCGGAUGACUGGGGUGAAGUCGUAACAAGGUAAC